AGAGUUUGAUCCUGGCUCAGAAUGAACGCUGGCGGCAGGCCUAAAACAUGCAAGUCGAACGCUCUAGCAAUAGGGAGUGGCGCACGGGUGAGUAACACGUGGGAAUAUGCCUUUUGGUACGGAACAACGUUUGGAAACGAACGCUAAUACCGUAUGGUCCCUUCGGGGUAAAGAUUUAUCGCCAAAAGAUUAGCCCGCGUUAGAUUAGCUAGUUGGUGAGGUAAUGGCUCACCAAGGCGACGAUCUAUAGCUGUUCUGAGAGGAAGAUCAGCCACACUGGGACUGAGACACGGCCCAGACUCCUACGGGAGGCAGCAGUUAGGAAUAUUGGACAAUGGGCGCAAGCCUGAUCCAGCCAUGCCGCGUGAGUGAUGAAGGCCUUCGGGUUGUAAAGCUCUUUAGCUGAUGAUUAUAAUGACUGUAGUCGGAAAAUAAGCCCCGGCUAACUUCGUGCCAGCAGCCGCGGUAAUA
rnacentral:rRNA from 1 species